rnacentral:rRNA from 1 species
GACGAACGCUGGCGGCGUGCCUAAUACAUGCGAGUAGAACGCUGAAGGAGGAGCUUGCUCUUCUGGAUGAGUUGCGAACGGGUGAGUAACGCGUAGGUAACCUGCCUGGUAGCGGGGGAUAACUAUUGGAAACGAUAGCUAAUACCGCAUAAGAGUAGAUGUUGCAUGACAUUUACUUAAAAGGUGCAAUUGCAUCACUACCAGAUGGACCUGCGUUGUAUUAGCUAGUUGGUGGGGUAACGGCUUACCAAGGCGACGAUACAUAGCCGACCUGAGAGGGUGAUCGGCCACACUGGGACUGAGACACGGCCCAGACUCCUACGGGAGGCAGCAGUAGGGAAUCUUCGGCAAUGGACGGAAGUCUGACCGAGCAACGCCGCGUGAGUGAAGAAGGUUUUCGGAUCGUAAAGCUCUGUUGUAAGAGAAGAACGAGUGUGAGAGUGGAAAGUUCACACUGUGACGGUAUCUUACCAGAAAGGGACGGCUAACUACGUG